UACGAAGGGGGCUAGCGUUGCUCGGAAUUACUGGGCGUAAAAGGGCGCGUAGGCGGAUAGUUUAGUCAGAGGUAAAAGCCCAGGGCUCAACCUUGGAACUGCCUUUGAUACUGGCUAUCUUGAGUUCGGGAGAGGUGAGUGGAAUGCCGAGUGUAGAGGUGAAAAUUCGUAGAUAUUCGGCGGAACACCGGUGGCGAAGGCGGGACUCUGGGCCGAUACUGACGCUGAGGAGCGAAAGCGUGGGGAGCAAACAGG
rnacentral:rRNA from 1 species